GGCGAACGGGUGAGUAACGCGUAAGAACCUGCCCUUGGGAGGGGAACAACAACUGGAAACGGUUGCUAAUACCCCGUAGGCUGAGGAGCAAAAGGAGAAAUCCGCCCAAGGAGGGGCUCGCGUCUGAUUAGCUAGUUGGUGAGGUAAUAGCUUACCAAGGCGAUGAUCAGUAGCUGGUCCGAGAGGAUGAUCAGCCACACUGGGACUGAGACACGGCCCAGACUCCC
rnacentral:rRNA from 1 species